AUGUUAAUGAUAACCAGUAUAACAGAAUUGCGAGUGCAUGACGCUGCUCAGAACCGUUUGGCUACCCUCACAGCUCACUUGCUUCUGUCUUCUUCAACCACCGCCGAGGGACUCAUCCAGCCUCUCCAUCCUUCGGCGUCCUCCGGGAUCUCUCCGCCGCCGAAUGCUAAAGGGAGUCUCAUGUUUUUGGCAGCAUUGCAACAGGGUUUUGGACUAUUGGAGCAGGGUUGUUUUUUGGCAGUAGCAAUGGACAACAACAAGGCUUAA